GCCUGGCUAGCUCAGUCUGUAGAGCAUGAAAUUCUUAAUCUCAGGGUCAUUGAUUCAUGCCCUGUGUUGGGCA
rnacentral:tRNA from 1 species